AUUGAACGCUGGCGGAAUGCUUUACACAUGCAAGUCGAACGGUAGAGGGGGCAACCCCUCGAGAGUGGCGAACGGGUGAGUAAUAUAUCGGAACGUGCCCGGUCGUGGGGGAUAACGUAGCGAAAGUUACGCUAAUACCGCAUACGAUCUAAGGAUGAAAGCGGGGGAUCGCAAGACCUCGCGCGAUUGGAGCGGCCGAUAUCAGAUUAGGUAGUUGGUGGGGUAAAGGCUCACCAAGCCAACGAUCUGUAGCUGGUCUGAGAGGACGACCAGCCACACUGGAACUGAGACACGGUCCAGACUCCUACGGGAGGCAGCAGUGGGGAAUUUUGGACAAUGGACGCAAGUCUGAUCCAGCCAUUCCGCGUGCAGGAUGAAGGCCCUCGGGUUGUAAACUGCUUUUGUACGGAACGAAAAGGUCUCUCUUAAUACGGGGGACUCAUGACGGUACCGUAAGAAUAAGCACCGGCUAACUACGUGCCAGCCGCCGCCGCAG
rnacentral:rRNA from 1 species